ACAAACAGUGAGCGACAAAAUGCGGCGUUGAAUGUUAAGUUUAGGCACCAAAACGACAUGUUAAGUUUAGCAAAAAGAUCUUGGUUUGGAUCAAAACACUUGAGAGGAACGAACAGUCGUUUCCUGGGUCAAAGUAAUACAAUUAUCUUAUUCAAUUAUGCAAGAUUUUG